AGGAGCAGCCACCAACGGAGGGGUCCGGGCUUCAAAAAUACGACCUUCCCCAGUAGCCAACUGGGGCUGGGAGGUUGUAACCUGCAUGCAGCACUGGGCCAAACAUCCCUGCAGCACCCGGGUUUGGCUGGUGGUGGCCCAUGGUGGCGUGGGGAGGAGAGGAUGGUGUGGGUGAUGCCGCGGUGGCUGCCGUCCCCAGCCCCUGGCGUCGUGCCCUUCCCGUGGAGAGGAUGCCGCACUGCCAAAGGUCUCCCCGGGGGUGCUCCCGAGCCUCUCCUGCCCCAGGGGAUGCCCCAGUUCACCUUCGCUUGCUUCUGCGGGCUCCAUGGCUUCUGCAAGAUGAAGAGGAAGAAAGAAGAGUCCAGCGCGGAGCAGGAGACGGCAGUGUGAGGAGAGGACUCGUGUGUGUGCCCUGCUGAGCCGUGCCUCGGGACCCCCUGUCCCCUUCCCCUCGAUACUUGCAUGGCUGGGGGAGAGCCCGAGCACGGGAAUGACCUUGCUGAGAUGUAGAAGCAGGUGCUGUGGAUGUUAUCAAGGUGCUGCACCAAUUCUACCCCCUGACACUCAGCCCAGCCAGGCAUGGAGCCCUGGGGAGCCGAGCAGCUGCUGUCGGAGGGACCCUGGGUCCCAGCCGGGUAGAGAUUUCCCUCCUGAGCGAGUCGACCUGCCCUUGCUCCAACAAGUCUCAACAGACAGACCUGGAGAGGUUUCCAAAAGCCGGGGCCAGACCCUGUCCCUCCUGGAGUCGUGGUGCCGGAGAGGCUGGUCCCUGGCUGCUAUCACCUGAAAAUCACCGCCUUUUCUCCCUCGCGAGGGCAGGAUUUUUUCCCAGCUGCUCGACGUUCCCGUGCUGACCCCAGA